rnacentral:rRNA from 1 species
AACGAACGCUGGCGGCAGGCUUAACACAUGCAAGUCGAACGCCCCGCAAGGGGAGUGGCAGACGGGUGAGUAACGCGUGGGAAUCUACCCAGUUCUACGGAACAACACAGGGAAACUUGUGCUAAUACCGUAUACGCCCCAAGGGGGAAAGAUUUAUCGGAAUUGGAUGAGCCCGCGUUGGAUUAGCUAGUUGGUGAGGUAAUGGCUCACCAAGGCGACGAUCCAUAGCUGGUCUGAGAGGAUGAUCAGCCACACUGGGACUGAGACACGGCCCAGACUCCUACGGGAGGCAGCAGUGGGGAAUAUUGCGCAAUGGGCGAAAGCCUGACGCAGCCACGCCGCGUGAGCGAUGAAGGCCU